rnacentral:rRNA from 1 species
AUUGAACGCUGGCGGCAUGCUUUACACAUGCAAGUCGAACGGUAACAGGGUGCUUGCACCGCUGACGAGUGGCGAACGGGUGAGUAAUGCGUCGGAACGUGCCGAGUAGUGGGGGAUAACGCAGCGAAAGUUGUGCUAAUACCGCAUACGUACUGAGGUAGAAAGUGGGGGACCUUCGGGCCUCACGCUAUUCGAGCGGCCGACGUCUGAUUAGCUAGUAGGUGAGGUAAAGGCUCACCUAGGCGACGAUCAGUAGCGGGUCUGAGAGAAUGAUCCGCCACACUGGGACUGAGACACGGCCAGACUCCUACGGGAGGCAGCAGUGGGGAAUUUUGGACAAUGGGCGAAAGCCUGAUCCAGCCAUGCCGCGUGUCUGAAGAAGGCCUUCGGGUUGUAAAGGACUUUUGUCAGGGAGGAAAUCCCUAGUGCUAACAACACUGGGGGAUGACAGUACCUGAAGAAUAAGCACCGGCUAACUACGUGCCAGCCGCCGCCGUAA